UACGGAGGGGGCUAGCGUUGUUCGGAAUUACUGGGCGUAAAGCGCGCGUAGGCGGACCUGCAAGUCGGGGGUGAAAGCCCGAGGCUCAACCUCGGAACUGCCUUCGAUACUGCGGGUCUCGAGUCCGGGAGAGGUGAGUGGAAUUCCUAGUGUAGAGGUGAAAUUCGUAGAUAUUAGGAAGAACACCAGUGGCGAAGGCGGCUCACUGGCUCGGUACUGACGCUGAGACGCGAAAGCGUGGGGAGCGAACAGG
rnacentral:rRNA from 1 species